UACGUAGGGUGCAAGCGUUAAUCGGAAUUACUGGGCGUAAAGCGUGCGCAGGCGGUUUUGUAAGUCUGUCGUGAAAUCCCCGGGCUUAACCUGGGAAUGGCAUUUGGGACUGCAAGGCUGGAGUGCGGCAGAGGAGACUGGAAUUCCUGGUGUAGCAGUGAAAUGCGUAGAUAUCAGGAGGAAUACCGAUGGCGAAGGCAGGUCUCUGGGCUGACACUGACGCUCAUGCACGAAAGCGUGGGGAGCAAACAGG
rnacentral:rRNA from 1 species